rnacentral:rRNA from 1 species
ACGGAGGGUGCGAGCGUUAAUCUGAAUGACUUGGCGUAAAGGGCAUGUAGGCGGAUAAUUAAGUUAGGUGUGAAAGCCCCGGGCUCAACCUGGGAAUUGCACUUAAAACUGGUUAUCUGGAGUAUUGUAGAGGAAGGUAGAAUUCCACGUGUAGCGGUGAAAUGCGUAGAUAUGUGGAGGAAUACCGGUGGCGAAGGCGGCCUUCUGGACAGAUACUGACGCUGAGAUGCGAAAGCGUGGUGAGCAAACAGG